UUAGGCAAGUUGUAAAGUCUUUGUAACUAGAGAGUUACAAAGUGACUUCUAAUAGAGUUAUUAUUUAGAGUGAAAAUACUUUAUUACUGUAGAGUGACAAAGUGGAUUAUGGUGAGAGCAUCACAAGUUAGUUAAAAUCCUUUGUAACUAGGGAGUCAGAAAGUAGCCUGUGGUAAGAGUACCACAAGUUAGUUGAAGUCUUUGUAAUAAAGUUAUUGCAAAGUGGCUUGUAAGGUUUACAAGUUAGUGAGGUUAAAAGCUUAUAAGUGUAGGUCGUGGUUUUUGGCCCCUUGAGUUGGGAAUUUUCCACAUAAAAAUUCUCGAUGUUCUUUACUUACUGCCAAGCUACUGCGAGAACCACUAGAGAACCUGAUUCUCUAUACUGGUUGAUUUUACAGUCUGUUGCUUUCAGUGAGAACCUAUAGAGAAUAUUGUUCUCUACACAAUGUGAACAUAUCUUUCAUUUACAUACUGUUUCAUUUGUUAGCAAUGCGGGAAUAAUAUAGGACCAAAUCGCUAUACAACUUGGUUCAUUAGUAUUUUCAGUGGAAACUCAUAGAGAACCCGGUUCUCUAUACAGUCUGGUGGACACAUAGUUUUCUAACAGUUCUAUUAAAGAAUCAUAUUGCCCUGCUUUCUAGGUGAGUAGUAGCAUCCUUUAGACAUUAUCUCUAGUGUAAGUAGUUGAGAAUGCAUAAUCGUUCAUUUAUCCCUAUAAGCAUGCUUUCUAGACGGGUGAUAGUAUCCUAUAGGUAGGGUUUCUAAUAUUUGACAAUUAGACAUGGUUUUGUAACACUUUAUCCUUAUAGGCAUAUCAAGAUUAGGAAGUAUAACGUAAAAUAAUAGAAACAACUGAUUAAUUAGUUAACCCUAUAGUCAUGGUAUCUAGAUGAGUAUACCAAAGGCAAGUAUUAUUGUAUCCUAUAGCCAUUUUGUCUAUUAAGCAAAGCGUUUGAUCCCUAUAACCAUGGUAUCUAAUGCAUUCAGUAGUACAUACGUCAAUAAGUACAACAAUUACUUAAACCAACAUGCUUUGAAUAAAGUACCAGUGUCAGACAAAUUAAGUGAAGUGUGUACGAUCAUUAUAGACAUGAUUUCUAUCAGUGUACGACACAUGAAACUAAAUAACAUAUAGGACAUGUUGAACAAAAUAGCAAAUAGAUCACGUAGACCCUAUAUGCAUGUUUUAUACCCAU
rnacentral:lncRNA from 1 species